AGAACAUCACCCAGACCAGAGAGACACACUUCUAUGUUCCAGGUGAUUUCUUCACAGUUCAGUCUUUGAAUCAGACUGAGAUCAUCUUCAUCAUCAUCAUCAUCAUCACUCUUGUUUUGCUGCUGCUGGUCAUUGUUCCCACAGUGAGAUGUUUCUGGAUCAAGAGGAAACUGAGAACUUUAAGAAUGUUAACAGUGCCCGAACAAGAUGAGCAACUGGACAUGAAGUAUGAAGUUCAACAUACUGAUCAUCAAUCAUCGGAAUCAGAGAAAAUGCAUGUAGAGGUUACAGUUGAUCCACCAUGACGGUGUCAAAGUAUUCUGUGGUUCUCUGUUUGCUUGUUAUUAUUCUUGUUUGCACUCAGGUGUUAGCUCUGCCAUCAAAGUACCGCAGAUGCAUUUUUCCUGGAUGAAUAACGUUACUUUAAUAGUGCCUCCAGAGGACACGCCCCACAGUCCUGGAGCUGAGAAUUCAUUUUUACUGAUUUCAUAAACUUCAUGUAGAUAUUUUUAGAUAUUUUCCUCUCUGGUUAGCACACCGCUAACUGAGAGUGUAAAUAAGACGUAUUUAUGUUUACAUGUACAGUGUAUGUUUGAUAAUGUGUAUACAUGCUUUUAUUGUCUUAAUAAAUUCUUGUGUUUAUA